GGCCGCAUGCGAAAAUAGAUCUUCGCAUGCGGUCUAUAUAAGAAGCCGCAUGCGAAGAUAUAUUUUCCCAUGCGGUC
rnacentral:pre_miRNA from 19 species